UCAGACGGCCGGGCGGUCGCUCUUCUCAUUUCGGUGAGGAGGGAGGAAAGUCCGGGCUCCACGGCGAAUAGGCGGCGGGUAACGCCCGCCGGGGGCGACCCCAGGGAUAGCGCCACAGAAAGUAAACCGCCCGCGUCCUAGCGUCGCGGGUAAGGGUGAAAGGGUGGGGUAAGAGCCCACCGCGGACCCGGUGACGGGGACGGCAUGGCAAGCCCCGCUUGGAGCAAGACCGAAUAGGAACAACGCGCCACGGCUUGCCGUGGCAGGGCCUCGCCGGCCCGAGUUGUUCGGGUAGGUCGCGAGAACCGGCCAGCAAUGGCCGGUCCAGAGGAAUGGCCGCCGCGUAACGGGGUUAUGCCCCGUUGCGGCACAGAACCCGGCUUACAGGCCGUCUGAUCCA
rnacentral:RNase_P_RNA from 1 species